UACCAGGUUGUGUCUUGCCAGACACUAUAUCUUCAGUACUUCAAGAAGCACCAGUGUAAGUGUCUUGAACAACAACUGAUAUUGCUGAAGUAUUUUGUGGAAGACUACCGGGUUGUGUCUUGCCAGACACUAUAUCUUCAGUACUUCAAGAAGCACCAGUGUGUCUUGAACAGCAACUGCAGGUUGUGUCUUGCCAGACACUAUAUCUUCAGUACUUCAAGAAGCACCAGUGUGUCUUGAACAACCACUGCAGGUUGUAUCUUGCCAGACACUAUAUCUUCAGUACUUCAAGAAACACCAGUGUGUCUUGAACAACAACUGGAGGUUGUGUCUUGCCAGACACUAUAUCUUCAGUACUUCAAGAAGCACCAGUGUGUCUUGAACAGACAACUGCAGGUUGUGUCUUGCCAGACACUAUAUCUUCAGUACUUCAAGAAGCACCAGUGUGUCUUGAACAACAACUGCAGGUUGUGUCCUGCCAGACACUGUAUCUUCAGUACUUCAAGGCAACACCUGUUAUUCUUGUGAAUUUGUGACUUGCCAAGUAUUGCUAAUUAAACAAUUUUGUUUUUGAUAUUGGGAAUUCUAUCUAAAUAUCCAUUGCAGUUAAUACAUCAAUACAAGUUACUAAAACUGUAAUAAUUUUCAGAAAAAUCUAUUUAAUGAACACAAAAGAAAAUAAUAAUACAAAUGUUGUUGAGUGUAUCUGCAGUGUUCUAGUACAUAUAUUAAUCUUGUGACACAAAAUAAAAAUUAUAAUAGUCUUUUAACACACAAUAUAAACUUUAUUGUUGCUCAUAAGUAGAAAAAGUUUUCCUGAAUAUAUCUUAACAUGGGAAUAUGUUCAUAAGAAAAACUGUGCUCAGUGUCCUAAAUAAUUAAAAAAAUUCUUGAAAUAGACAUGUGAGUACAUAAGGAAGGUUAACUAUACCACUGUUGUAUGACUAAAAUAUUUUAAAUGAAAUAUCUUUAUUUAAAAAGUAUGGAGAAAGAUAAAGAACAUAAACCAUAUCAAUGUUCAGAGUGUUUGAAAUGUUUUAGUCUGAAAAGUAGUCUUGUGAGACAUAUGAGAGUACAUACAGGAGAUAAACCAUAUCAAUGCUCAGAGUGUCUGAAAUGUUUUACUAGAAAAUACAGUCUUGUGGCACAUGUAAGAAUACAUAAUGGAGAUAAACCAUAUCAGUGUUCAGAGUGUCUGAAAUGUUUUAGUGUAAGAGGCAAGCUUGUGAGACAUAUGAGAGUACAUACUGGAGAUAAACCAUAUCAAUGUUCAGAGUGUCUGAAAUGUUUCACUGAAAAAAGAAAUCUUGUGGCACAUAUGAGAGUACAUACAGGAGAUAAA